rnacentral:rRNA from 1 species
AUUGAACGCUGGCGGCAUGCCUAACACAUGCAAGUCGAACGGAGGUAGGGGCAACUCUACUUCAGUGGCGGACGGGUGAGGAAUGCGUCGGAAUCUACCCUAUGGUGGGGGAUAACACAGGGAAACUUGUGCUAAUACCGCAUAAUGUCGAGAGACCAAAGCAGGGGACCGCAAGGCCUUGCGCGAUAGGAUGAGCCGACGCCCGAUUAGCUAGUUGGUAGGGUAAAGGCCUACCAAGGCGACGAUCGGUAGCUGGUCUGAGAGGAUGAUCAGCCACACUGGGACUGAGACACGGCCCAGACUCCUACGGGAGGCAGCAGUGGGGAAUAUUGGACAAUGGGCGCAAGCCUGAUCCAGCAAUGCCGCGUGUGUGAAGAAGGCCUGCGGGUUGUAAAGCACUUUUGUUCGGGAAGAAAUCAUGCUGGUUAAUACCUGGUAUGGAUGACGGUACCGAAAGAAUAAGCACCGGCUAACUUCGUGCCAGCAGCCGCGGUAA